AACUGCCUGCAGUUGACAUGCAGCAUGCUCCAGCCAUGCUGCCAUCCAAACUCCAGUUAAUUUUUUGGCACAGUCACUGUGCAGUAUGUGCAG